UAACCUGCCUCUUAGCGGGGGAUAACUAUUGGAAACGAUAGCUAAUACCGCAUAAAAGUCGACAUCGCAUGAUGUUGACUUGAAAGGUGCAAUUGCAUCACUAAGAGAUGGACCUGCGUUGUAUUAGCUAGUUGGUGAGGUAACGGCUCACCAAGGCGACGAUACAUAGCCGACCUGAGAGGGUGAUCGACCACACUGGGACUGAGACACGGCCCAG
rnacentral:rRNA from 1 species